rnacentral:rRNA from 1 species
GAUGAACGCUGGCGGCGUGCCUAAUACAUGCAAGUCGAACGGAGAAGCUCCAGCCUGCUGGCGUGGACCAGAGCCGAACGGGUGAGUAACACGCGAGCAACCCGUCCCUGACUGAGGAAUAAGAGUUGGAAACGGCGGCUAAUAUUGGAGACGAGAAGGGUCCGCAUGGGCACCUUUUGGAAAGUUCGUCGGUUGGGGAUGGGCUCGCGGCCUAUCAGCUUCUUGGUCAGGUAGUGGCUCACCAAGGCGACGACGGGUAGCCGGCCUGGGAGGGCGAACAGGCACACUAGGCCUAAGGGACGCACCAGACUGGUACGGGACGCAGCAGUGGAAAAUAUUGCGGAAUGGGGGAGAGCCUGAUGCAGCGGUGCCGCGUGCGGAAUAACGGCUUUCUGGUUAUAAACCAAUUUCUGCGGGAAAAAGGAGAAAGUGACGGUACCUGAAGAAAAAGCACCGGCUAACUACGUG